UAUUUUGACUAUACGAAGGUAUUGAAAUAAGAUUUUAAAUGAGUGCUAAGAGAAUGAUUAAACAAUUAAAAGCUUUCUUUAAUUGAAUAAUUGAAUUUAAUUUUUUAGUGCAAAAGCAAAAAUAAAAAUUAGGGACAAGAAGACCCUAUGAAUUUUUUAUUAAAUUUUAUAAAACUUUAUAUAAAGUUUAAUUUAAUUGGGGUGAUGGAAAAAGAAUAAAUAUCUUUUUUUUAAAGAAAAUUGGUUCCGUUUUUAGCGAUUAAAUGAAAAAAAUA
rnacentral:rRNA from 1 species